GAAACUUGGCUGUUCUGGCCUGGGGACCUCGGGGCCGAGUAAGGCGCUUGGGACUUUACAUAGAAAAAAAAAAAAAAAAAAGUUUAGUUUGCACUAUCUGGGUAGGGUCCAACAAACAGAUUGGUGGCUGGAAACGGAGGGGGGCGGGAGCACCUGGGUUCCCCAUUCCAAAACGGGGACCUCUACGUCACCUUGCAGGUGAGAGCUGGGGAGGCAACAAAUCAGUGAGACUUGGACUGCACCUGUCCAACCUGAGCAGUUGUCAUCUGCCAGGACCCCUUCCAGGGCAUGCAUUCAGCCAGCACCACCAUUCAACUGGGACCCAGAAAAAUCUCUUAAACUUGCAGACUUGGAGAAAGAGGAAGGUAGCCAGGCAACGGAAUUGCGGAAAACAUCCUCUCGGUCACAUGAACUUUAUUGUAGAUCAGGAAGUUAUCUAACAGCUACCAAAACUCUUCUGACUCCACUGCUCCAAAUGUUGACUGUUUCUCACACCUCACCAUUGGGUACGGAGUCUGCUGCCUUGGGGGUUGUUCAGAUUUCCCAUCCCCUUUCAGAUUCGAUCUACCCCCACCUGCCUGGUUGCAUUUGGAGAUGAUUUCCUUUUUUCCAUUCAGGAGACCAUGUGGCUCCCAUACUUACCUGGGCUGGCAGUUUCUCCACACACCCUCCUUAAGGAGAAUUCCAAAUCUCUUGAGGAGGGAAAGCCGGGUUAAGAAAGGUCAGAAAAAGGAAGCUGAGCCUGAAGUCCAAGAAUACAUUAUUAUACUCUCCUCUGGGUGCCUUUGAAUCAUUCCAGAAAAAAAAAGUGCAGCACAAGAAGUAAUUUUAAUGGGCGACCUCCUUCUCUUUCACUAAUUCCCAGUCCUGAGCCAGGUUCACGAGCAAGAACCUAGUCUUCUGUGGCCUUGUAUCUCCCAAACGGUCUGGUAAAGAUACUGAGCACACAGUAGGAGCUCAGACAAUAGAUCCUGGUUGACAAAACGGAUGCUUCGAAUGAAAGGCGGCAAUUAUUUGAGAGCAAGUGUAAGUAAAAGCGCACGCACGUGUGUAUCCUGUGCCUUUUCAAUUAAUUUCAGGCUCACAUACAAGAUCACCUCGAGGAUCUGCUCUCACAUCUCAACCCAGCGCCCCAACACAAGCGAUUCCUCCUGGUUAACCCUCAUCUUGGCAUGGAGGGAGCCCCCUCCAGCUGUCCCAUUUGCAGACACGGCAUCACUGUGACCUCUUCCUGGCAGUGUUCCUUUCCUCCUCCUCCUCGAGGGUCGAGGUCAGCUGAGCCCACCCGACUAAGUCAUACUCAAUCCAGAUGACCAGGAGCAGAGACCCUCCUGGAAGCCAGAGCACAGAAGGGCCAUUCCUCGUGCACCCAGCUAAUUUUUCUGCCUAGAGGCGCCGCGGGCCGUGUCCGAGUCCCUGCGACCACGGGUGGCACCGCGAUGCUGAGGCGGGCGCUCUGGUCCCCCCCGCUUCACGCAAUCCUGGGACAUUCCGAGCCCCUACAGGGAAUCCCGUUCUCUGGUUGGCGGAGAGCAGAUGUGGACGUGCUCGAGCACCGGGGCUUGACUACGACUAUUUAGGGGGGCCCUGGUGUCACCCACCCCGGCGUUAUCAUCGGCCACAGUCGUUGCUGUUCUCCCUUGGCGUUAAGCGGCCCCUUGGCCUUUGGUAAUUUUCCGUAAGCGCAGAGAGCAGCCGCGUGGCGCGCACCCCGGAAGCGCUUGCUGAGACCCGGAAGCAGCGGGAACUCGGACGCGGCUCUUCCCGCGCGUGAGCCCUCCUCGUCCCGCCCACCUUUGAGAAGGGAGAGGAAGUGAUGAAGAGGAUUAACACCCUGCUUCUAAUUCUGGCCAACUCGGAGGCCCUGCAUGGAAAAUCAGAAGUGACAAGAAUCCUGGAAGAGGGCCACCUGGCCAUCAGAAAAUUCCAGAGAGAUGUGGUCACUGCCAGACACACACUUGGUUAGAAACGGAACUCUGUAGUGCUAUGGAAGUGAAUGUCAUAUUGCCAUGAGUAAUGAAAUACUAUCCCGGCAGCACCCACUGCACCGAGAAGCUGAGCGUUGACUAAAGUUAUGAUGGCUACUAGACUCUUAUCAUGAACUAACUGUGCCACGCAUUGAAACUGAAAUGUGGGUCCCUUGGAGUAACUUCUUUGUUUCCUGUUUUAAGAAGGUCAGAAGACGGGAGUGAAAACAUUCCAGUAACCAAACAUGGUGGUAUCAAGCCUAAUUAGGAAUAAAAAAA